rnacentral:lncRNA from 1 species
UCUCACUAUGCAGGACAAGGGAUUGAUGAUCGCCGCGUCGUUCUAUCCUUCUAGCUCUUCGUUUUUUUUCCCUUUAUCCUUUUCUUUCCUGGGAAGGUGAUAGAAGCUCUUGCGAUUAUUCCUUGCCACAAGCUCUCAUCACUUGGUUGAGUGUUUUCUCUCUUGUUUUUGUUUCGUUGGAUUAACACAAGACCGUGACAUGCGAAUAACUCCAGUGACACGUCUGUGAUGCGUAAAAGUCACGAUCUUUACUUCACUGAAGCUCCAGCGCUCUCUCUAAAAGAUUUCGCGACUUGUGAUCUCGUCGAGGAUGCACCAAAGCAUUCGAACGAGCAAAGCUCCAAAAAACUCUUAGGUGAGAUCGACAAAGAGUGCUGGAAAGAAUUUGUUUUUCAUUUCCCCUUUUGCUUUCUGGCUGACAGGCAUUGAAAAUCGCGAGCAAAGCAACAAAGGCAUCGAUUCUUUCACUGCUAGAAACCAUCCAGCUUCGAAGAAGAAAGAUGGCCCUCCC